UACGAAGGGGGCUAGCGUUGUUCGGAUUUACUGGGCGUAAAGCGCACGUAGGCGGAUCUUUAAGUCGGGGGUGAAAUCCUGGAGCUCAACUCCAGAACUGCCUUCGAUACUGGGGAUCUAGAGUCCGGAAGAGGUGAGUGGAACUCCUAGUGUAGAGGUGGAAUUCGUAGAUAUUAGGAAGAACACCAGUGGCGAAGGCGGCUCACUGGUCCGGUACUGACGCUGAGACGCGAAAGCGUGGGGAGCGAACAGG
rnacentral:rRNA from 1 species